GGCUCUAUACUUUAAACACAAAAGAUCUGAUUUGCAAUCAACUAUUGAGCACAAACUCUAGAGCCU
rnacentral:tRNA from 1 species